GACGAACGCUGGCGGCGCGCUUAACACAUGCAAGUCGAGCGAAGCGGCGGACGGGUGAGUAACACGUGAGUAACCUGCCUUAGACAUUGGGAUAGCCUCGGGAAACCGGGAUUAAUACCAAAUGGUCUAAGAUGGACUCGCGGCCCAUUAGCCAGUUGGUGAGGUAACGGCCCACCAAGGCGACGAUGGGUAGCCGGCCUGGGAGGGCGAACGGCCACCUUGGAACUGAGAAACGGUCCAAACUCUACGGGGGGCAGCAGUGGGGAAUAUUGCACAAUGGAGGGAACUCUUAUGCAGCGACGCCGCGGGCGUGAUGACGGCCUUCGGGUUGUAAACCGCUUUCAGCCAUGACGCGGUAGUGGCAGAAGAAGCACCGGCUAACUACGUGCCAGCAGCCGCGGUAAUUC
rnacentral:rRNA from 1 species